rnacentral:misc_RNA from 1 species
GAUGAAGAACGCCAGCGAAAUGCGAUACGUAAUGUGAAUUGCAGAAUUCAGUGAAUCAUCGAGUCUUUGAACGCACAUUGCGCCCCCUGGUAUUCCGGGGGGCAUGCCUGUCCGAGCGUCAUUGCUGCCCUCAAGCACGGCUUGUGUGUUGGGCCUCCGCCCCCCGGCUCCCGGGGGGCGGGCCCGAAAGGCAGCGGCGGCACCGCGUCCGGUCCUCGAGCGUAUGGGGCUUCGUCACCCGCUCCGUAGGCCCGGCCGGCGCCCGCCGGCGACCCCCCUCAAUCUUUCCAGGUUGACCUCGGAUCAGGUAGGGAUACCCGCUGAACUUAAGCAUAUCAAUAAGCGGAGGA